GUCAUCACAGAUAACUCCUUUCAAAAUCAAAGAAACCCUAAUCUUGGGUUCAACUGCGCAUACUUGUUUCAGCCUUUAUAAACACCUUUCAUCCAGAGUUUACUCAUUCGCUACUCUUCCCUUUCAAAGGUGAUCGACGCUGAACAUACUGUGCGAUCUUUCUCUUUAGAGAAACCAAGCCAAUAAAUCUGAUCCUUUAUAUGAGGUAGCAUUUGUCUUCGAACAAUUAUUAGAAACUCCAUGGAUUAUAUACUUUCUGAUUAAUGUU